UAACGGCGAGUGAAGCGGCAACAGCUCAAAUUUGAAAUCUGGCGCAAGCCCGAGUUGUAAUUUGCAGAGGAUGUUUCGGGUGAAGCCACGGUCCAAGUCCCUUGGAACAGGACGUCAUAGAGGGUGAGAACCCCGUACCUGGCCGUCGGUGCCCCCCGCUGUGAAACUCCUUCGACGAGUCGAGUUGUUUGGGAAUGCAGCUCUAAAUUGGUGGUAAAUUCCAUCUAAAGCUAAAUACCGGCCAGAGACCGAUAGCGCACAAGUAGAGUGAUCGAAAGAUGAAAAGCACUUUGAAAAGAGAGUUAAAAAGUACGUGAAAUUGUUGAAAGGGAAGCGCUUGCGGCCAGACUUGCCCGCGGUUGCUCAGCCCGCCUUUUGGCGGGUGCACUCUUCCGCGGUCAGGCCAGCAUCGGUUUGGGCGGUCGGAUAAAGGCGUCGGGAACGUGGCCUCCCCUCGGGGAGGUGUUAUAGCCCGGCGCGCAAUGCGGCCAGCCCGGACCGAGGUUCGCGCUUUGCUAGGAUGCUGGCGUAAUGGCCGUAAGCGGCCGUCUUGAAACACGGACCAAGGAGUCUAACAUCUAUGCGAGUGUUUGGGUGUCAAACCCGUGCGCGUAAUGAAAGUGAACGGAGGUGGGAACCGCAAGGUGCACCAUCGACCGAUCCUGAUGUCUUCGGAAGGAUNUGAGUAAGAGCAUAGCUGUUGGGACCCGAAAGAUGGUGAACUAUGCGUGAAUAGGGUGAAGCCAGAGGAAACUCUGGUGGAGGCUCGCAGCGGUUCUGACGUGCAAAUCGAUCGUCANAUUUGCGUAUAGGGGCGAAAGACUAAUCGAACC
rnacentral:rRNA from 1 species